CCGGAUGCCCUGAGGGCCGCGCAGGGCUGGCGGGGCGCGGAAGCGGGGCUCUGUGGGGCUCUGUGCGCAGCCGGGUGGCUCCGCCUGGACGGGACUCCCACAGAACAGAGGCCGUGCCCGCCCUCAGCGUGCUUGUUGAAUCUGCUACUCAGGAAUAUUUUCUCUAGAAAAACUGCUUCAGUCAUAAGUGCAGAGAGUAUCUCCUCCCCUCACCUCAUCCCAGGGCUCAGAGGAACAGAACAAUUUCAGAAAAUCAAGGACUAUGGGUAUGAAUUCCCUGAGAGAGGAGAGAAAAUGAGCUUGCGCCUUAGAUGCUGGGUAAGCUCCUCUUGGGUUCUUAUACCAAAGGACUGUGGCAGCAGCACUGCCAUUUUAGAAGAUAAUUCUUGCUUUCAUAUUUUGUGUUGAACUCAACCUGUACAUUAUAUACGCUCUGAAAACAUCGCCUGCAAUACCAGAAGGUAUUGAAUUAAACAAUC
rnacentral:lncRNA from 1 species